rnacentral:rRNA from 1 species
CGAACGGGUGAGUAACGCGUGAGGAACCUGCCUCAAAGAGGGGGACAACAGUUGGAAACGACUGCUAAUACCGCAUAAGCCCACGGCUCGGCAUCGAGCAGAGGGAAAAGGAGCAAUCCGCUUUGAGAUGGCCUCGCGUCCGAUUAGCUAGUUGGUGAGGUAACGGCCCACCAAGGCGACGAUCGGUAGCCGGACUGGGAGGUUGGACGGCCACAUUGGGACUGAGACACGGCCCAG